AGUGAACGCUGGCGGUAGGCCUAACACAUGCAAGUCGAACGGCAGCACAGUAAGAGCUUGCGCUUACGGGUGGCGAGUGGCGGACGGGUCCGGAGUACAUCGGAAUCUACUUUUUCGUGGGGGAUAACGUAGGGGAACUUACGCUAAUACCGCAGACGACCUACGGGUGAAAGCAUCGGAUCUUCGGACAUUGGGUGAGUGAAUGAGCGGAUGUCGGAUUAGCUAGUUGGCGGGGUAAAGGCCCACCAAGGCGACGAUCCGUAGCUGGUCUGAGAGGAUGAUCAGCCACACUGGAACUGAGACACGGUCCAGACUCCUACGGGAGGCAGCAGUGGGGAAUAUUGGACAAUGGGCGCAAGCCUGAUCCAGCCAUACCGCGUGGGUGAAGAAGGCCUUCGGGUUGUAAAGCACUUUUGUUGGGAAAGAAAAGCAGCAGGUUAAUACCCCGCUGUUCUGACGGUACCCAAAGAAUAAGCACCGGCUAACUUCGUG
rnacentral:rRNA from 1 species